AUGGAGGCUUGCCCUGCUCCAUGUAAGAUUUCUUCCUUUCUGCCCAUUCCCCCCUCCCCGACCCCCAACCCACAGCAAAUCCACUUAGCAAGUGACUUUCAAUAUCAGUCGAAUUGCUGGGAGGGAAUUUUUCCUUUAAUGGAAAAAAAAAUCCUCUUCACACAGGUGCAAUGGCCUGCCUCAAUGAAGAAAGGCUACCUGGAUGCCCACAACAGAACCCAGUUUUGUACAAUAACCCCCUGCUGCAAUGUGAGGCUCCAGAUCCUAUCAGCUUUCCUUGAAGGAGGUGUUACAGGGUGUUCAUUUUCCUGCUGUUUGCUUUCAGCACCCUCAGGCUCAAGUCUCAGAUUUCUUUCAAAGCAUCAAUGUACCCAGUAUAAAAACCAGUCAACCAACCAAACAAACAGAAGUUACCCAAUAAGAAAGACUCACACUUGA
rnacentral:lncRNA from 1 species